rnacentral:rRNA from 1 species
GACGAACGCUGGCGGCGUGCUUAACACAUGCAAGUCGAACGAUGAAGCCGGAGCUUGCUCUGGUGAAUUAGUGGCGAACGGGUGAGUAACACGUGAGUAACCUGCCCUUGACUCUGGGAUAACUGCGGGAAACUGUAGCUAAUACCGGAUACGACCCUCGGAGGCAUCUCCUGGGGGUGGAAAGAAUUUCGGUCAAGGAUGGACUCGCGGCCUAUCAGCUAGUUGGUGAGGUAAAGGCUCACCAAGGCGACGACGGGUAGCCGGCCUGAGAGGGGAACCGGCCACACUGGGACUGAGACACGGCCGAGACUCCUACGGGAGGCAGCAGUGGGGAAUACUGCACAAUGGGCGCAAGCCUGAUGCAGCAACGCCGCGUGAGGGAUGACGGCCUUCGGGUUGUAAACCUCUUUUAGCAGGGAAGAAGCGAAAGUGACGGUACCUGCAGAAAAAGCACCGGCUAACUACGUGCCAGCCGCCGCGGUAA